rnacentral:lncRNA from 1 species
GGCAGAUCUGAUUUCCAGAAUUUGUUUUCAACUUCAGCCUAUGUGGAUGUGGCCUCCGAGUUCUUGUGCUUGUUGGAUUGUUUAUCCGAGGCCUCCUAUAGAGGCGUGCUUGUAAUUUUUCUACUACCUAGCUAGACGUUUUGAGUGAGAAGUUGGGUUGUUUUGUUUGUUUGCUUGUUACAUUUUCUUGACACACCAACCUUACCUACCUAAAGAUUUACUACCUUUCCAGUGUGAGUCGGCCGCAUCACCCUCGUGAAAAUGAGGGGAAGGAGACUGCACUGACUUCUAGCAUUUUGUUUUACAGGAUUAGUGUCAUCACUGCUUAUACUUCCUCCUGUCCUUUUUACUCCGAGUAUUAGAUUUGCAUCAAGUCAAACUUUGCAAAGUUUGACCAAAUAUAUAUUAAAAAGUAUUAACAUUUGCUAAACUGAAUAUAUUUUUCAUGAAAGUACAUUUCAUGAUGAAUCUAACAAUAUUGAUUUGGCAUUGUAAAUGUUGAUAAUUUUUUCUAUAAGUUUGAUCAAAGUAGAGAUGCUUUGACUCUAGACAAAACUUAUACGCAGACAAAAAUGACGGGAGGAAGUAUGUAUGCCAAUCAAGAGACCAGGGGCGUGCACAUGAACCCAAGUUCUGUUAAUUUCAGGAUAUUUUGGUCCCACGCCUUCAUGCAAAACAAAAAACACAUCAUUAUGAAAUGGAGAUAGCAACAUUAUGGUGACACACUUUCAGAAAGCUUGGUGUCCUACCUUGCCUACCUGAAGUCUGGAGAGGUAGAUAGAUAGAUAUCCUACCUAGGACCUGAACCAUCAGGCCCAUGCGCGGACGCCCUCCCUGAUGCAGGAAAAAGCAUGGUGUUUGGUCCACCUGAGCUGAGCUCGCACACCUGUGCUCGCGCUAUGAUUUGUUUCUGUCAGCGCAGGGCGCAGUGGGCGGAGACGAUCCACGCCUCCACGGGGCCAUGGCCCAGGCCCAGCCAGUGCCAGAGCUGUAGCUGGCUGCUACGUACGCCUGCCACGGCGGGCGUCAUGCCCGGGGGACCAGACGAUUCCGCUGUGCUACGUCGCGUAGAGCGAGGGCGGACGUCGACGUCACAAGCGCGCGCGCCCACGGCGUGCCAUGCCAUGGCCCAUGGACGCGCGUGGAGGACGGCGACGAGCUCGCUCCACCUUUGGUUGGUCUCGUUGUGGCCGGCGACCGUCCCGGGCGGGCAAGAGCGCCGUCGUGAGCCGCCGCGCCGGCCGCGAACAGCACGAGGAUGGCCAACGCUCUGAGCAGCAGCACACGCGUCAUGAUGGGAGUGGUGUGAUGGAUGGGCCACCGUUUCCCCGACGUCCGUCAUGUGGCCCAACGAAAGACUUGAGCAAAGUGCAUGCGGGCCGAGAGGGAUCAGCCAACCAAAAAAGCAGCAGGGUCGUGGAUGGCAAGGCUGCAUAUUCACCCAUGUAUCGGGUCCAGUGGGCCAACCUAGGUCACACUCACACUUCUCUCAAGAAAAACCUAAAAAGAACUUUCUCUCAAGAAAAAACACACACAACCCUAAAAAAUGUAAACACACGCGCACAAACCCUCCGAUCUGUUAGCAGAAGGAACUCACGGCCUUUGCACUGUAGCACAAUAUCAAUAGAAACGGAAGCAGCCAUGGACAACCACCUGGCAUCAACUAUAAUAAAAAAAAUGCCUUCAUCAAAGUGCCUCCAGACUUGCACCACACAUGCAGAACCUUGUCUCUAAUGCUCAAAGUGCCUUCAUCAAGAAGAGGAGCAUCCAUGUUAAUUUCACGUAUGUGAGAAGCUUGGCAAGGAAAUUCCACCGCAACAAGACGCCGACGCUACUAUUCAAACUUGACAUCAAGAAAGCUUUUGACUCCGUGCGGUGGGAUUUCCUCUUGGAUCUUCUAAGGCACUUGGGCUUCCCAAGCAGAUUCCGUGACUGGGUUUCGGCACUCCUUUCCACAUCCUCCUCAAGGGUCUUGAUCAACGGAAUUUUGGGUGACCCUCUGAAGCAUGGCCGCGGUCUUAGGCAAGGUGACCCGCUCUCCCCGUUACUGUUCGUGCUGGCAAUUGACCCCCUGCACCAUCUCCUAAACAAGGCUACAUCUCAAGGGCAUCUCCAUCCUCUCUGUGGUAGGGCAACGAUCAUCCGUGCCUCUCUUUAUGCUGAUGAUGCAGCCAUCUUUGUCAAGCCCAUCAAGGAGGACAUCCAGUUUUUUGCUUCUGUCCUGGCUUCCUUUGGAGAGGUUACCGGUUUAGUCACUAACUGUGCUAAAAGCCUUGUCGUCCCGAUUCGUUGUGAAAGUGUCGAUCUUCAAGACAUUCUUCAUGCUUUUCCGGCUGUCCGCACGUCCUUUCUAAUGAGAUAUCUUGGACUACCGCUAUCGGUCAAGCGCCUCAAGAGGAUCCACUUUCAGCACCUUGAGGAUAAGGUGGCUGGCAAACUCCCUCCGUGGCAAGGAAGACAUGUCGCUACCGCUGGUCGGGCCGUCCUUGUCAAAGUUGUUCUCACUGCCAUUGCCAUUUACCACCUCACGCCGCUCAACAUCCCAGCUUCCUUAGGAAGAUUGAUUCUAUCCGUCGCGCCUAUCUUUGGGCGGGCACCGACAAGGUUUCUGGUGGGAAAUGCAAGGUCAAUUGGGACCUUGUUUGCAAGCCUAAGAAGCACGGUGGCUUAGGUGUGCUCAACUUGGACAAGUUUGCUAAGGCUCUUAGGCUUCGAUGGCUCUGGUUCGAGUGGGAAGAGCCCACAAUACCGUGGAUUGGUAUGGGUACGCCAUGCACUGAUGAAGACAGGUACUUUUUUGCAGCUGCCACUUCCGUCACGGUUGGCAAUGGGCAUGUGGCUAAGUUCCGGAACUCCUCCUCGCUUGAUGGCAUGCGCCCACGGGACCUAGCGCCUGGCAUUUUCGACCUCUCCCGAAGGAAAAACUGCUCGGUCAAACAGGCUUUAACAAACAACACUUGGAUCUCUCAUAUUGACUUCUCCGACGGUCUCACAGUAGACCAUGUCCACCAGUUCAUCACACUUUGGGAGAAGAUUGACUCGGUCACUCUGGAUGAGGACGUGGAGGAUUCCAUUAUUUGGAAGUUCACCAAGGACGGAUCGUACUCAGCUUCCUCGGCUUACAAGGUGCAGUUUGAGGGCCUAACUACGUCAGCCAUGGUCCUAUCGGUGUGGAAGGUGUGGGCUCCUUCGCGGUGCAAAUUUUUCGCAUGGCUUGUACUUCAAGAUAGAAUCUGGACAUCGGACCGCCUUGCCCAACAUGGGUGGCCCAAUUGCGGGCUAUGCCCGCUUUGCAAGCAAAGCCCAGAGACGACAUCCCACUUACUGUUCCAAUGUCGCUACACCCUUCGUGUGUGGAACGAUAUUCUUCGCUGGCUUGGCAUGGAUCACACUCAGGCUACUACUUGGUCAGCGAGGGGCUCGGUGUGGGAAUGGUGGAAUGGAAACAUAUAUCUUUGUUCUGAAUCCCCCAAGACGCUCGCCUCACUAAUGAUGCUAAUCUCCUGGGAAAUUUGGACGGAGCACAAUGCUAGAGUUUUCCGCAACACGGCCGCACCUACGACAGUCGUCAUUAGUAAGAUAAAAGAGGAGUUGUCGCUUUGGGCGUUGGCGGGCGCCAAGCAUUUGAGUGUUGUAAUGCCGCAAGAGUAGAUUUUAUUUCUUGCCACUUCAUGGCCUGUCUAAACCUUCUUCUUAAUCAAUGAAAUGGCAAAUCUUUUGCCUUGUUUAAAAAAACUAUAAUAAAAAAUGUAGUCUAGGACUUGAAUCCAAAUGGGCAUCUCUGAGUGUGUGCACAACUAGCUAAUCGACAGGCAUUCAGUUCUUUAUAGUACAAUCUGGAUUAAUUGCAUUGUUUGUAACUCGGCUAAAGUUUAGGAGAAAGGAGCUAAGAUCAAAUGGCGUGGUUGGAUUAAACCCAAGACCGGGUUUUCGAAGCUCCAUGGUGACAAGAUUUUCUAUGCCAGUCAACAUGACAGGGUUCAAAGAAUUUAUUACCGCUUCAAAUCAAACACAAUAGGGUGCAAAGAAGGGCGCUCGCUCGCAAUGUCCACCUCAUCACAUGUACAGUGAUCAAGGGGGAGAGAGAGAGAGAGAGAGAGAGAGAGAGAGAGAGAGAGAGGAAGGAGUGAGCAAACAUGCAACACAAUUUUUUUUCCAUACUCAGAACUGAGGCAAAAAGAUAAAGUAGCCAAGUAUAUUAGGACUUAGUCUCGCUAUGUUCUGAAACCAAUAUAUAGGUCAUUUUACUACAAUCUACCAGGUCUUCUAGACACCCAAUAAAUCAUACUGCUUGAAAUUAAAUACAUCAGGAGAGGUGAGCACGGCAAGCAACGACAGCAUCAAGCAAGGAGUACAUGGUGGUGGCAGCAAGUAGCCAAGUCAUUGGGGUAUUUGAUGUGGUGAAGCAUCAAUGGCAGAAGCUAUUGCUUUGCAUUGUGCUUUUAUACCAUGGUAUUUCGAUUGGACGCACACAACUGGUAGUAAGCUUAUUAGAUUGUCUCGAGUGAUGCAAACUAUGCUAGAUGGCGGUGAACAAACAUCUUUGCCCCUAAAUGAGUGUUAAUAAUUGGUGAUUAUGAGACUAAUAUUUUGCUCAGAUGUGCAAUUUAAUCCAUAUAUGAAGUAAAAGAAAGGUGGUUGGAGACCUCCCAUAAGAAAUGGGAAAAGAAGAUAACAACGUUUAAAUUCAUGCAAUCAUUACUUUAUUAUUUGUGUCAUAUAGAGAACAUAUUAUUCGGAGGGGUGGAGAUCAAUGCCUAAAAUACAUCCCAAGAAUAUUUUUUACUUUGAGAAACACCACCAAAGGAGGCCUCGAGAAAGUUGUUGGUAGUUAUGUAUUUGUGCUCCAAAGGUAUCUCAGAGGACCUAGGCCGAGCUCCGGGCAAUCCACUUAACCUCUGGUCACCCCUGAAAUGCCCUAGACCCAGUUUAUCUUUGUGUCUACUGAGAUCAUCGUCGUACACCUUGAAGCAUGCCAUGAGCUCCCAACUUAACCUAAAGGUCGUGGGCUCGUGUAGAAACAGGAUAACAAGCGAAUUUCUAGGAGUUCCCAUAAAUAUUGCUUCGUCCCCAAAGUGACCGUACCAUUUGGAUAUGAGUUUCCUAACCAUUGUUGAUCUUAAAACGUAUCCCCAAGCCUCAAAACAUGAAACUUUGUGAGGAGAGGUGAUAUUGGGACGUGAUCUAUGGUCCAACUGAACCAAACUUUGAUCCCACUUCGAGUCCUUCAUUGGUCUUGUUACUCUUAGAAUUUUUAGGACUCCGAGACGAUAGGGGUUGUUGGGGAGCUAACAAGCAUGUUAUUUGACUCGAGAAAUUUGUUAAAGCUAUGGAUCGCCUUAAGGUCUACCUUUAGUUGUUGAGCCUGGAAUUCGUGGCCAUCACAAGGACAAGAAUGAUAUGACUUUGUAAACGAUGAGACAUCGUGUCCAAGCCUCUCCAACAGGGACAUCAAAAGGAUUCACAUUUUGUGGGUACAUCAUCUUCUCGACGCCAAAUUUGUUAUUCGUAUUACUUCCUUGGUAUAUCUUUCUUAUUUUAUGGGAAACCAAUAUGAAAGGCUCUCGUUGUGAUGUUUCAUUUCCCAUGUUCUUAUCUCUUUACUUUAAUAUAUUUUCAUUCUUAUUUCUUAUCUCUUUACCUUUUCUUUCCCCCCUUUUUUCUAUGUCUUUGUUUAUUUCUUAACCUUUCGAGUUCUAGAUAUUUAUCUUUUUAGCUCCCAAUAUAUUUUCAAAAUAUGAAUGUGUCUCCGAGAUAUAUGAUUUUUUAACAUACAUUUUUUUACGAAAUACAUGAACAUUUUCUUUUGGUACAUGUGAAUAAUUUUCUUGUAAGAAAAGAUUAUUUUUAGUGUACAAGGAUAUUUGUAAAAGAUCGUAUGAAGAUCUUUUCUGAGAUAUAUAAAUAUUUGUUUUGAUAAAUGUGAUUCCUUUCUUGCAAAUUUUUUUAUGUCCAAGAAUAUUUUAAAGAAUAUGAACACUUCCUCGAAAUACAUGAACACUUUUUUAAAAUACACAAAACCAUUAUUAUCCAUACAUAUAAAAAUUUCUCGGGCAUCCAUGCAUAUUUUUAAAAUAUGUAAAAAACGUCUUAAAAUACAUGGACCCUUUAAAAAAA